UAUCUCGUUCACCUGGAUUAGC
rnacentral:siRNA from 1 species